GCGCCCAUAGCUCAGUAGGAUAGAGCGCAAGAUUCCUAAUUUUGAGGCCGGGGGUUCAAUUCCCUCUGGGCGUG
rnacentral:tRNA from 1 species